UCCCAUGUGGCUCAGUUGGUAAGAGCAUGGUGCUUGCAACGCCAGAGUUGUGGGUUCGAUUCCCACGGGGAA
rnacentral:tRNA from 1 species